rnacentral:rRNA from 1 species
UAAAGGUCGAAAGGGGAGAUUCAGUAUCCAUUCCUCAUCGCCGCUCCGUGCCGCGGGUACAACUCGGGGUGGCCCUCUCGGGGGCUGCCCUGGGCCCACGGCGCGGUCUCGCGCGCGGGAGGUGGAGCGCACUUCUCCCCGAGUAGGACGCCGCGACCCGCUGGGUGUCGGUCUGAGGCCUGGGUGCGAGCCCGUGACGCGGCUUGCCGCGUCGCGGAGCCCCGGUGUCCCGACCGACCGCUCGGCGGUCGAACGUGAGGAACUGGCCCGCGCUCUUUUGCGCGCCCGUGCCGCUUGCGAGCGUCCGGCUGAACCCGUCGUGCGGACUUGUCCGCCGCGGGCCAGUCGGCGUUGUCGGCUUGCGGACUUCUCGGGCAGUGGCUUCUCCUGUUCGCGGCGCUCAAAGCUGGGCGGCCCACCCGGCCCGUCUUGAAACACGGACCAAGGAGUCUAACAUGUGCGCGAGUCAUUGGGUCCAACUAAACCCAAGGGCGUAUUGAACGAAAAGGCCGUCCUUGCGGCGGCCGAGGGAGGAUGGGGCGG